CCUCCUAGUACUCCCAGUACACCAACUACCCCAACUCCUGACCCCGGUACUCCAAGCACUCCAGGAGGUGGUGGAUACUCUCCUUCCCCUACUCCUACUACUCCUACCCCUAGUACACCAUCCACCCCCUCCACACCUACUAUUGAAACACCACCUACUCCUACCGCUGAUCCUGGAACUCCAAGCACUCCUGGGGGUGGUGGUUACUAUCCUUCGCCUACACCUACACCUAGUACCCCCUCUACACCUACUAUUGAAACACCACCUACUCCUACCGCUGAUCCUGGAACUCCAAGCACUCCUGGGGGUGGUGGUUACUAUCCUUCGCCUACACCUACACCUAGUACCCCCUCUACACCUACUAUUGAAACACCACCUACUCCUACCGCUGAUCCUGGAACUCCAAGCACUCCUGGGGGUGGUGGUUACUAUCCUUCGCCUACACCUACACCUAGUACCCCCUCUACACCUACUAUUGAAACACCACCUACUCCUACCGCUGAUCCUGGAACUCCAAGCACUCCUGGGGGUGGUGGUUACUAUCCUUCGCCUACACCUACACCUAGUACCCCCUCUACACCUACUAUUGAAACACCACCUACUCCUACCGCUGAUCCUGGAACUCCAAGCACUCCUGGGGGUGGUGGUUACUAUCCUUCGCCUACACCUACACCUAGUACCCCCUCUACACCUACUAUUGAAACACCACCUACUCCUACCGCUGAUCCUGGAACUCCAAGCACUCCUGGGGGUGGUGGUUACUAUCCUUCGCCUACACCUACACCUAGUACCCCCUCUACACCUACUAUUGAAACACCACCUACUCCUACCGCUGAUCCUGGAACUCCAAGCACUCCUGGGGGUGGUGGUUACUAUCCUUCGCCUACACCUACACCUAGUACCCCCUCUACACCUACUAUUGAAACACCACCUACUCCUACCGCUGAUCCUGGAACUCCAAGCACUCCUGGGGGUGGUGGCUACUAUCCUACGCCUACACCUACACCUAGUACCCCCUCUACACCUACUAUUGAAACACCACCUACUCCUACCAUUGACCCUGGCACGCCAAGCACUCCAGGGGGUGGUGGUUACUAUCCUUCUCCGACACCUACUACCCCGUCUACACCUACCAUUGAAACACCACCCACUCCUACCAUUGACCCUGGAACUCCAAGCACUCCGGGUGGUGGUGGUUACUAUCCUUCUCCUACACCUACCAUUGAAACACCACCCACUCCUAUCAUUGACCCCGGAACUCCAAGUGCUCCAGGUGUCUUCCCAAUAGACCCCAACUCACCACCUUUUACAUGCAAGUAAGUAAAACAAAAAUUAUUCUCUCUAUUU
rnacentral:lncRNA from 1 species